rnacentral:tRNA from 1 species
UUCCCGAGUAGCUCAGCAGGCAGAGCGGUCGGCUGUUAACCGACUGGUCGGGGGUUCGAAUCCCUCCUCGGGAGCUUC